rnacentral:rRNA from 1 species
UACGGAGGAUGCAAGCGUUAUCCGGAUUCAUUGGGUUUAAAGGGUGCGCAGGCGGGACAUUAAGUCAGUGGUGAAAGCCCCCGGCUCAACCGGGGAACUGCCAUUGAUACUGAUAUCCUAGAGUACAGUUGGGGUAGGCGGAAUGUGUCAUGUAGCGGUGAAAUGCUUAGAUAUGACACAGAACACCGAUCGCGAAGGCAGCUUACCAAGCUAAUACUGACGCUCAGGCACGAAAGCGUGGGGAUCAAACAGG